rnacentral:lncRNA from 1 species
CUUUGGAUACUCUCCCUCUCUCAAACUCUCUCGAAGGUUUCCCAGAGCCCUAGCCUCUCUCUUCCUCUCCGACCAUAACCUCACCGGAAUCCAUGGCUUCUCCGGCUAUAGAUGGCUUGUACUUCGCCCCCCACCACCAUUAAACCCUUGGUGUCCAAAGUUCCAAGGUCUGAAAUCGAUGGUGUCUUUUUAGAUCUCUACAGAUUCAAGGUUCUAUAGCCUGUCCGGCCUUGCUCUAGCGUAUCCAAGCAUUAGGAGCCUAUUUCUGACCUCUCCAACUCAAGAUUGGACUUUGUUCCAAGCAUUUCUCAUUUCUAGGGUUUCUCUAAAACCCUAAGCUAUUCAAG